UUAAUACUUCCUCUGUCCGGAAAUACUUGUCAUCAAAAUGGAUAGAAAGAAUCUUUCUAUCCAUUUUGAUGACAAGUAUUUCCGGACGGAGGGAGUACAUA
rnacentral:pre_miRNA from 1 species